rnacentral:rRNA from 1 species
GACGAACGCUGGCGGCGUGCUUAACACAUGCAAGUCGAACGGAAAGGCCCUGCUUUUGUGGGGUGCUCGAGUGGCGAACGGGUGAGUAACACGUGAGUAACCUGCCCUUGACUUUGGGAUAACUUCAGGAAACUGGGGCUAAUACCGGAUAGGAGCUCCUGCUGCAUGGUGGGGGUUGGAAAGUUUCGGCGGUUGGGGAUGGACUCGCGGCUUAUCAGCUUGUUGGUGGGGUAGUGGCUUACCAAGGCUUUGACGGGUAGCCGGCCUGAGAGGGUGACCGGCCACAUUGGGACUGAGGUACGGCCCAGACUCCUACGGGAGGCAGCAGUGGGGAGUAUUGCACAAUGGGCGGAAGCCUGAUGCAGCAACGCCGCGGGCGGGAUGACGGCCUUCGGGUUGUAAACCGCUUUCGCCUGUGACGAAGCGUGAGUGACGGUAAUGGGUAAAGAAGCACCGGCUAACUACGUG